rnacentral:misc_RNA from 1 species
GAUGACGAACGUAGCGAAAUGCGAUAAGUAAUGUGAAUUGCAGAAUUCAGUGAAUCAUCGAAUCUUUGAACGCAUCUUGCGCUCCUUGGUAUUCUGAGGAGCAUGCCUGUUUGAGUGUCAUUAAAUUCUCAACUACACUGACUUUGAAUUGGUGUGGCUUGGAUUUGGGGGGAAAAUUGUUGUGGGCUUUUUGUAUAGUCUGCUCCCCUGAAAUUGAUUAGCGGUACCUUUGUGGAACUGUCUACAGGUGUGAUAAUUAUCUACAUCUUAGACAUCUGCUGGAAUGCUGCUUUCUAAACCUUACUUGUAUUGACAAUCUUGACCUCAAAUCAGGUAGGACUACCCGCUGAACUUAAGCAUAUCAAUAAGCGGAGGA